rnacentral:rRNA from 1 species
GAUGAACGCUGGCGGCGUGCCUAAUACAUGCAAGUCGAGCGAACAGACGAGGAGCUUGCUCCUCUGACGUUAGCGGCGGACGGGUGAGUAACACGUGGAUAACCUACCUAUAAGACUGGGAUAACUUCGGGAAACCGGAGCUAAUACCGGAUAAUAUAUUGAACCGCAUGGUUCAAUAGUGAAAGACGGUUUUGCUGUCACUUAUAGAUGGAUCCGCGCCGCAUUAGCUAGUUGGUAAGGUAACGGCUUACCAAGGCAACGAUGCGUAGCCGACCUGAGAGGGUGAAUCGCCCCCACGGAACCUGGGCCCGGGCCCGACCCCCACGGGAGGCAGCAGGUGGGAAAUCUCCCGAAUGGGGCGAAAGCUUGCGGGGGCACCGCCGGGGGGUGAAUAAGGGUUUCGGGUUCGAAAACUUCUGUAAUUGGGAAAAACAAAUGUGGUAGGUAACAUUCCACGUUUGAAGGUUCCCUAACAGAAAGCCACCGCUAACUUCCUG